rnacentral:rRNA from 1 species
UACGAAGGGGGCUAGCGUUGUUCGGAAUCACUGGGCGUAAAGCGCAUCGCAGGCGGAUUGAUAAGUCGGGGGUGAAAUCCCGGGGCUCAACCUCGGAAUUGCCUUCGGAUACUGUUAGUCUUGAGUCCGGGAUGAGGUGAGUGGAAUUCCUAGUGUAGAGGUGAAAAUUCGUAGAUAUUAGGAAGAACACCAGUCGGCGAAGGCGGCGACCUGGUCCUUGACUGACGCUGAGGCGG